AAAGAUUUGCCACCGGGCAAACGAAUGUAAAGCAUUCAGGUACUUAUCGUUAGGUCUUUGAAGAUAAGUGCGUGGGUGCUAUUUUUUU
rnacentral:ncRNA from 1 species